rnacentral:lncRNA from 1 species
AUAGACACUAAGAAAACCCUAACACAAACCACCAUCGUCCCUCAUGGCAGCCAUCUCUCAAACCACCAUCGUCCCUCAUGCCAGUCAUCACCCAAACGACCCUUGACUUCAGAUACAAGCAGUAGCUGCCACCCAUUUCCAUCCUCAGCAUCGGAGCUCCACCGGAAACCCACUAUCCUAGCCCCUUCGCCUGAAAGCCGUUGUCACGCCCCACGAACACCACCACAGAAUGCCAUGGACACCCAUCUUCUUCUUCGACGCUAGGCUAAACCAUAAAGAACGAGCAGCCAUUUUCCAACGAAGACACGACCACCUGAUCGUGAACCACCAUCAUGCCGCCGACAACCCAUCGUAUUUGCGUCUUCUUCUUCGUCUCCAACCAGCUAACGACCACCUAACGUUCACCCCCAUUUCUUCUGAUAUUUCCUGGUUCGCGGAUUGAUUUUGCUGCUGCUUUCCGUCCCUAUUCGAGUGUGUAUGCUGGGGUUUCAAGUCCGGUCUCGUGUGAUUUCAGUCGAGGAGUUUCCGUUGGUCCUGUUCAAGUUCUGAAAAUUCGUUCGAGGUUAUUUUCAUGGUCCGGGGAUCAAUCACUUGCUGCUAUUGCAUUUUUCAGUUAGAGUUCAAUUGCUGGAUUCCUGUAACCGAGUUCUCAUUAAUAGAAAGUGAAACUUGACGAGGUUCAAGUCUCUUCACUGAUCUUACUUGAUUUUUUUCUAUUUAUAUUCUCUUAUUCCUAAUAUCUUUUCAUCUAAAUUGUUCUGCCGUGAUUGCUG